UACGGAGGGUGCGAGCGUUGUCCGGAAUCAUUGGGCGUAAAGAGCGCGCAGGCGGUCGUUCAAGUCGCGUGUGAAAGCCCCCGGCUCAACUGGGGAGGGUCACGCGAUACUGAUCGACUCGAAGGCAGGAGAGGGUAGUGGAAUUCCCGGUGUAGUGGUGAAAUGCGUAGAUAUCGGGAGGAACACCAGUGGCGAAGGCGACUACCUGGCCUGUUCUUGACGCUGAGGCGCGAAAGCUAGGGGAGCAAACGGG
rnacentral:rRNA from 1 species